rnacentral:rRNA from 1 species
AUACGAAGGGUGCAAGCGUUAAUCGGAAUUACUGGGCGUAAAGCGCGCGUAGGUGGUUCGUUAAGUUGGAUGUGAAAGCCCCGGGCUCAACCUGGGAACUGCAUCCAAAACUGGCGAGCUAGAGUAUGGCAGAGGGUGGUGGAAUUUCCUGUGUAGCGGUGAAAUGCGUAGAUAUAGGAAGGAACACCAGUGGCGAAGGCGACCACCGGGGCUAAUACUGACACUGAGGUGCGAAAGCGUGGGGAGCAAACAGGAUUAGAUACCCGGGUAGUCCACGCCGUAAACGAUGUCGACUAGCCGUUGGGAUCCUUGAGAUCUUAGUGGCGCAGCUAACGCAUUAAGUCGACCGCCUGGGGAGUACGGCCGCAAGGUUAAAACUCAAAUGAAUUGACGGGG